UUUUCUAGAUCUCUUCCCAGACUUCCCCAUGGCAAACUAUCCAGUACUUUGGAGUGUAGGCUCACCCAGGGCCAGCAACAUGGACCAAGUUCUACAAACACCAGAACAUAGCAGAGCUUUGUGGGAAGUGGACAUAUCGAGAUGGUUUUGUGGGGAAUAUGACGGCUAUCCUGCUGUGAUGGAUGAAUUACAUUCAAUUUAGAAGCCUGAAUUUCCAGUCUACAGGUUUUGAAGAAAAUAAAUAAACAGUUUCACACAGGAAA